ACGGGGAAAUUUAUCGGAAAGAUCCCCGCGUCAUUAGCUAUGGUGAGGACGGCUCAAAGGCGACUCAGUAGCGUCUGAGAAUGAUCAGACAUUGGGUGAGACACCCCAAACUUACGGGAGAGCAGUGGAAUAUUGGAAUGGGCGAGCCUGAUAGCCAUGCCGUGAGUGGAAGGCCCGGGUUGUAGCUCUUUUGCGGGAAGAAUGACGGCCGCAAGAAAGCCCCGUAACUUCGCCAGCAGCCGGUAAUAAAGGGGGCGCGUUGCUGAAUCACUGCGUAAAGUGCGUAGGGGUCUUUAUCAGGGGUAAUCCUGGCUCAACUCGAACUGCCUGAUACUGGAUCUUGAUCGGGAGAUGAGUGGAUGCGAGUGGAGGUGAAAUUCGUAGAUAUUCGCAAGAACACCA
rnacentral:rRNA from 1 species